GACGGAGGGUGCAAGCGUUGUUCGGAAUUACUGGGCGUAAAGGGCGCGUAGGCGGUCUGCUAAGUUCGGUGUGAAAUCCCCUGGCUCAACUGGGGAACUGCGCCGGAAACUGGCAGACUAGAGUACCGGAGAGGAGGGUGGAAUUCCUGGUGUAGCAGUGAAAUGCGUAGAGAUCAGGAGGAACACCAGUGGCGAAGGCGGGUCUCUGGACAGUUCCUGACACUGAGACACGAAGGCCAGGGGAGCAAACAGG
rnacentral:rRNA from 1 species